CGAUGCCAAAGACACUUCCUCCUGCCCCGUUCUUAGCAGACGAUGUGGCUUCCUCCUUCUGUGAUGCACUGCAGCAGCCCCUCCUCGAGGUCCAGAGCCCUAGGCCUUCCAUGCUCCCAGGCUCACUACUACACUCCUGGUCACCCCAACGUCUUUAUUUUUGCCCCCCCUGCUCUGGGGGUUGUAGCUUCUUCCUUCAUCAACUCUGUUACUUCAGUGUCCCUUUUGCACUUUCAGUCCUCAAACCCCAAGUAAACACGCUUUCACUUCCCUU
rnacentral:lncRNA from 1 species